UACGUAGGGGGCAAGCGUUGUCCGGAUUUAUUGGGCGUAAAGAGCGUGUAGGCGGCCAGACAGGUCCGUUGUGAAAACUCGAGGCUCAACCUCGAGAUGUCGAUGGAAACCGUCUGGCUAGAGUCCGGAAGAGGAGUGUGGAAUUCCUGGUGUAGCGGUGAAAUGCGCAGAUAUCAGGAGGAACACCCGUAGCGAAGGCGGCACUCUGGGCCGAUACUGACACUGAGGAGCGAAAGCGUGGGGAGCGAACAGG
rnacentral:rRNA from 1 species